GGGGCUGUGGCUCAACGAUAGAGCACUCUUCCGGGAUAUGUGAGGCCCUGGGUUCAAUCCCCAGCACCACA
rnacentral:tRNA from 1 species